rnacentral:rRNA from 1 species
AUUGAACGCUGGCGGCAUGCCUUACACAUGCAAGUCGAACGGUAACAGGUCUUCGGACGCUGACGAGUGGCGAACGGGUGAGUAAUACAUCGGAACGUGCCCAGUCGUGGGGGAUAACUACUCGAAAGAGUAGCUAAUACCGCAUACGAUCUGAGGAUGAAAGCGGGGGACCUUCGGGCCUCGCGCGAUUGGAGCGGCCGAUGGCAGAUUAGGUAGUUGGUGGGAUAAAAGCUUACCAAGCCGACGAUCUGUAGCUGGUCUGAGAGGACGACCAGCCACACUGGGACUGAGACACGGCCCAGACUCCUACGGGAGGCAGCAGUGGGGAAUUUUGGACAAUGGGCGAAAGCCUGAUCCAGCAAUGCCGCGUGCAGGAUGAAGGCCUUCGGGUUGUAAACUGCUUUUGUACGGAACGAAAAAGCUUCUCCUAAUACGAGGGGCCCAUGACGGUAC